CCCGUGGAGGUUAAUCUCUACCUUUUUAUUUUUUACUCGUGUUUUUAUUAUUUUUUUUUCUUUUUUAUUAUCACCAUCUCCGUCUGAUUAAUUUAAUCUACGCUACAUUUUCAAAUCCAGAGUGGAAAAAAAAACAUACAUAUACAUAUAUAUAUGAAAUGACGAGAUGCCCGGUGAAUAUACUAUUCAAAUGAACCAGGCGAUUAUACAAUUAAAUGUUUUAUUAUAUAUGUUGGAUCGAAAUUGACCUGAAAAAUAUGCGGAUGCUAUAAAUAUAAAAGUUCAUCGUAUAUUAAGGGAGCAUACAUGAUACCGGGAUAUAUUUGUGGAUAUUUGGGAAAGCAAGAUUUGUUAUAUAUGUAGGAGUAUAAGUAAAUAUUUGAGUGGCCUGUAAGGUCAUUGGACUAGGAUAAAUAGCCAUCUGCCAUCUAUUCGCAAAACUACUAGCCUGAUCCUGCAAGGACGCUCUAUCACGUGGUUCCAAAUUACCGGGGAAGAUGCGUGACGGAUAUUUAAUGAACGAAAUUUUGGGUUAUACCUUGUAAUAGGAGCACCAUGACAACCAUUAUAUCAGAAGAGAGUCAAGAGUAAAGAGCAAGAGAGAAAGCUCAAGUAUUUUAUCCUUCGGACGAAUCUGCUUGCCUAAUACAAACCUGGUCGUAGUUCGGCGUUCCCAAUUGACGAGUUAUUGACAGCCGAUCGAAUAUUCACUGGAAGAGUAUAUCUGAUGAGCGUCAAGCAAAAAUCCUUUUGGAAUUAAUUGGUUUCGCGGAUUAUACUGGUUAAGCUAUCGUGUAUAUAUGUAUGGACAAUUUAUAAGAAAAUAUAUUGGGGGUUGCAACCAAAUGGCGCUCAUACGACAUCAGGAACUUAUUAGUUCGCAGGAAGUCUAUUUCCGGGUACCGUGCCCAGGUAUCAGGACUUUAUUUAUACAUGAGUGUGCUCCAAUUGUUAUUAUAUUAGGUCUACCUAGUGGCUGAGAUCAAUGAACAUCAGCCUCUUGCUCAACCAGAGAUGAAUUAUAAACAAUUGAUGUGAUCCUGGUAGUUACAAAGAGCUAUGAAAUGCCGUAAAAGGAAGGAGGUGACAGG